GACGAACGCUGGCGGCGUGCUUAACACAUGCAAGUCGAACGAUGAAGCGGGUGCUUGCCCUCGUGGAUUAGUGGCGAACGGGCGAGUAACACGUGAGUAACCUGUCCUUUUCUUUGGGAUAACGGCUGGAAACGGCUGCUAAUACUGGAUAUUCAGGCUGCAUCGCAUGGUGUGGUUUGGAAAGGUUUUUUCUGGGAUUGGGUGGGCUCGCGGCCUAUCAGCUUGUUGGUGGGGUGAUGGCUUACAAAGGCUUUGACGGGUAGCCGGCCUGAGAGGGUGGUCGGUCGCACUGGGACUGAGAUACGGCCCAGACUCCUACGGGAGGCAGCAGUGGGGAAUAUUGCACAAUGGACGAAAGUUUGAUGCAGCGACGCCGCGUGGAGGGUGUAGGCCUUCGGGUUGUGAACUCCUUUUUCUCGCGAAAAAGGCACAGUUUUGGCUGUGUUGAUGGUAGUGGGGGAAGAAGCGCCGGCUAACUACGUG
rnacentral:rRNA from 1 species